rnacentral:rRNA from 1 species
UACGUAGGGUGCAAGCGUUGUCCGGAAUUAUUGGGCGUAAAGAGCUCGUAGGCGGUUUGUUGCGUCGGCUGUGAAAUCCCGAGGCUCAACCUCGGGUCUGCAGUCGAUACGAGCAAACUAGAGUGUUGCAGGGGAGACUGGAAUUCCUGGUGUAGCGGUGAAAUGCGCAGAUAUCAGGAGGAACACCGGUGGCGAAGGCGGCCCACUGGGCCAGCACUGACGCUGGAGGCGCGAAAGCUCGGGGAGCGAACGGG